rnacentral:rRNA from 1 species
CCUACGGGAGGCAGCAGUGAGGAAUAUUGGUCAAUGGGCGCAAGCCUGAACCAGCCAAGUCGCGUGAGGGAUGACGGUCCUAUGGAUUGUAAACCUCUUUUGUCGGGGAGCAAGGCCCGCCACGUGUGGCGGGCAGGAGAGUACCCGAAGAAAAAGCAUCGGCUAAUUCCGUGCCAGAAGCCGCGGUAAUACGGAGGAUGCGAGGGUUACCCGGAUUUAUGGGGUUUAAAGGGUGCGUAGGCGGAAGGUUAAGUCAGCGGUAAAAUGGCGGUGCUCAACACCGGCCUGCCGUUGAAACUGGUCUUCUUGAGUGAGCGAGAAGUAUGCGGAAUGCGUGGUGUAGCGGUGAAAUGCAUAGAUAUCACGCAGAACUCCGAUUGCGAAGGCAGCGUACCGGCGCUCAACUGACGCUGAGGCACGAAAGCGUGGGGAUCGAACAGGAUUAGAUACCCGAGUAGUC